GAACUGGUACGGAUAAGGGGAAUUCGAUUGUUUAAUUAAAAUAAAGUAUUGCGAUGGUUUUUGCGGAUGUUAACGUAAUGUGAUUUUUGUUCAGUGUUCUGAAUGUUAAAGUGAAGAAAUUUAAUUAAGCGCGGGUAAACGGCGGGAGUAAUUAUGAUUUUUUUAAGGUAGUUAAAUGUUUCGUUAUUUAAUUAGUGACGCGUAUGAAUGGAUUAACGAGAUUUUUAUUGU
rnacentral:rRNA from 1 species